UGGUGGAGUGAUUUGUCUGCUUAAUUGCGAUAACGAACGAGACUAUCACCUUUAGUUAAUGCAGUUUGUUUCGACAGACUGGACAUAUACUAUAGGGACAUUUGGCUCAAGCCAAAGGAGGUGGAUAGCAAUAACA
rnacentral:rRNA from 1 species